CUUCAAACUUACAAGGAUUCUCCCGAACUGAAAGCAAAUAUAGCUGAGGCCUGCCAGUCACGACUUGCGGAGUAUAAAGCCUCUGAUGAGAUGAAGGUCGCUAUUUGGCACAAAGGCUUUCGCAUGUACGUGUCCGGUUUCAAUAGGGGUUUGAGAGAUUCCAGACUUGCUCUUUCUACCCCUCUAGCAAAGCUCCGAGCUGCUAAGGUGGA
rnacentral:lncRNA from 1 species